rnacentral:rRNA from 1 species
ACUCAAAUGAAUUGACGGGGACCUGCACAAGCGGUGGAGCAUGUGGUUCAAUUCGAAACAAAGCGAAAAACCUUACCAGGGUUUGACAUUUUAGCUGCAAGUUCGUGGAAACAUGAACCUUCUUCGAGAGUGCUAGAACAGGUGCUGCAUGGCUGUCGUCAGCUUGUACCGUGAGGCGCACCCUUAAGUGGGUCAACAAGCGCAACCCUCAUCUUGUGUUAAAUAUCACAAGAAACCGCCCGCUAAAAGCGAGGAGGAAGGCGAGGAUGACGUCAAGUCAGCACGGCCCUUAUAUCCUGGGCUACACACAUCCUACAAUGGGUGGUAACAACGAGCUGCAACUGGGCAACCAGAAGCUAAUCUCCUAAAACCAUCCUCAGUUCAGAUUGGAGGCUGCAAUUCGCCUCCAUGAAGUUGAAAUCGCUAGUAAUCGCGGAUCAGCAGGCCGCGGUGAAUACGUUCUCAGGUCUUGUACACACCGCCCGU